rnacentral:pre_miRNA from 1 species
CAUGCACCAGUGGGGUCCCUCAGCCUGGCCUGUGCCCUCUCGCAAUCCGGGACCCCUCAAGGGAUGUUGGAGAGCCGGUUUCCGCCCGAUCUUGCAGGCCAGGCUGAGGGACCCCACUGGUGCAUG